AGAUGGGCGAUGACUUCGUGUGAGAAGAAACUGUCCACGUGUCCAGAGCAGAACAUCAAACAUAACAGAGGAAACUCACAGCCUCGCCUGUCUCUGGAGAUGAAACUACCAUGUGUAUUACCGGCCCACAAAGAAGCCAAAGUGAGGGAACAGAGGAUCCGAAUGAAAAGUGAAUCUCACAGCUCCUGGGGUGACUGCCUAGAAAAGCAACUCACUCACCAACCCCUUCAGAUCCAAUGGAUGGACAUGGCAACAGCAGACAGAGGCCAAAUUACAGCAACACUAGGAAAUAACGUCUACAAAGAUCAAGAGUUCCACCGACACUAG
ensembl:lncRNA